ACUUGAAUAGUUUAAUUAUUAGAAUAACAAUUUGUGGGAUUGUAGGUGUUAGUUAUUAACUUCAAGUC
rnacentral:tRNA from 1 species